rnacentral:misc_RNA from 2 species
ACACCUCAACUCUCAUGGCUUGCCAUGAUGAGCUUGGACUUUGGGGGUCUUGCUGGCCUGUGAGUUGGCUCCUCUUAAAUGAAUUAGCUUGCCAGUGUUUGGUGGCAUCACAGGUGUGAUAACUAUCUACGCUUGUGGUUUACCACCAGAUAACCUUCAGCAAUGGAGGUUCACUGGAGCUCAUAGACAUCUCUCCUCAGUGAGGGCAGAUUUUGACC